UGAGUACGAGAUGCUACGGCAUCGAAGCAGUCUAUGUCAUACUUCCAAGAAAAGCUUGCACUGUCAUAGACAAAAAAUGCCUGUACCAUAACCGACACAGGUGGGUAGGUAGAGUAUACUAAGGGGCGCGAGAUAACUCUCUCUAAGGAACUCGGCAAAAUGACUCCGUAACUUCGGGAGAAGGAGUGCCUUAUUUAUAAGGUUGCAAUAACAAGAUCCAAGCAACUGUUUACCAAAAACACAGGUCUCCGCGAAGUCGUAAGACGAUGUAUGGGGGCUGACGCCUGCCCAGUGCCAGAAGGUUAAAGAAGUUGGUUAGCAUUCGCGAAGCUGAUAACUGAAGCCCUGGUGAACGGCGGCCGUAACAAUAACGGUCCUAAGGUAGCGAAAUUCCUUGUCGGGUAAGUUCCGACCCGCACGAAAGGCGUAAUGAUUUGGAUACUGUCUCGGAGAGGGGCUCGGUGAAAUAGACUUGUCUGUGAAGAUGCGGACUACCUGCACCUGGACAGAAAGGCCCUAUGAAGCUUUACUGUAACUUGAAAUUGAAAUUGGACUUUAUUUGCGCAGUAUAGGUGGGAGGCAUUGAGAAUAACCUUGCGGGGUUACUGGAGCCAUCAGUGAGAUACCACUCUUGUAAUGUUAGAUUUCUAACUUUGUAUCAUUAUCUGGUCAAAGAACAGUUUCAGGCGGGCAGUUUGACUGGGGCGGUCGCCUCCCAAACGGUAACGGAGGCGCACAAAGGUUUCCUCUGAACGGGUAGAAAUCGUAUCUAGAGUGUAAAGGCAUAAGGAAGCUUGACUGUGAGACCUACAAGUCGAGCAGGGACGAAAGUCGGUCUUAGUGAUCUGACGGUGCUGAGUGGAAAGGCCGUCACUCAACGGAUAAAAGUUACUCUAGGAUAACAGGCUGAUCUCCCCCAAGAGUUCACAUCGACGGGGAGGUUUGGCACCUCGAUGUCGGCUCAUCGCAUCCUGGGGCGGUAGUACGUCCCAAGGGUUGGGCUGUUCGCCCAUGAAAGCGGUACGCGAGCUGGGUUCAGAACGUCGUGAGACAGUUCGGUCCAUAUCCGGUGUAGGCGUUAGAAUAUUGAGAGGAGCCUUCUCUAGUACGAGAGGACCGAGAAGGACAUACCUCUGGUGUACCAGUUAUCGUGCCAACGGUAAACGCUGGGUAGCUAUGUAUGGAGUGGAUAACCGCUGAAAGCAUCUAAGUGGGAAGCCCACCUCAAGAUAAG
rnacentral:rRNA from 1 species